CACACAUUCACAUGUGAUUCUACACUCUUGGUUCUGUAUGGACUCGUUUCCCCUUACGAGAGGUGGAGAGUAUGAGAGGGGUGGGCUUCAGCGACUGUAUUAUAACAACUGAAUCACACUGAAUUAAGACUAACUUCAUGGCCAAGGUAAAUGCGGUAGACUUCCUGAACUUUUGACCGAUCGUCGCCUGCAUCAGAAGUAUUUCACUUUGCACCCGGCGUCUCCUCCUCAGCGUGGGUUUGAAUAGCACUAGUGUUCGGCUGCUGAAUGUAGGCCAAACGGCAUGAACACAAGCGCAAUAACUGAUUCGUAGGAGUGAAACGAGGAGAGGAGGAGAUAAACUUCCAAUUGAAGAGAGUUUAAUAACAAACUCAAAAAGGGCAGACAAAGUAGAACAAGUGACAUGGAAAUGCAGCAUGAUCCAGAUUUGCAGUUUAAACUGGCUUAUUCAGAUUCAGAAAGAAUUGACGCAGGCAUUAAAACCCGAGCAAGAGGCCAGUGGUCCAGUAAAGUGGAGUUUAUCUUAGCCGUUGCUGGCCAAAUCAUUGGUUUGGGAAAUGUGUGGAGAUUUCCAUAUCUGUGUUACAAGAAUGGAGGAGGAGUGUUUUUCAUUCCAUAUAUGGUCUUUCUGUUUGCCUGCGGCAUUCCGCUUUUUCUUAUGGAGACUGCUUUGGGUCAGUACACC